rnacentral:rRNA from 1 species
UACGGAGGUGGCUAGCGUUGUUCGGAAUCACAGGGCGUAAAGCGCACGCAGGCGGAUCGAUAAGUCGGGGGUGAAAGCCCGGGGCUCAACCUCGGAAUGGCCUUCGAUACUGUCGGUCUCGAGUCCGGGAGAGGUGAGUGGAAGUCCUAGUGUAGGGGUGAAAUUCGUAGAUAUUAGGAAGAACACCAGUGGCGAAGGCGGCUCACUGGUCCGGUACUGACGCUCAGGUGCGAAAGCGUGGGGAGCAAACAGG